AGUUUGCAACUGGUUCAUUAUGGGAACAUGAUUUCAUUUAUAAAUGGUUGUUUCAUUAUCUAUUAAUUAUAAAUCAUGUACCUGAAAACAUUUUUCAUGAU